rnacentral:rRNA from 1 species
GAUGAACGCUGGCGGCGUGCCUAAUACAUGCAAGUCGAGCGAACAGACGAGGAGCUUGCUCCUCUGACGUAAGCGGCGGACGGGUGAGUAACACGUGGAUAACCUACCUAUAAGACUGGGAUAACUUCGGGAAACCGGAGCUAAUACCGGAUAAUAUAUUGAACCGCAUGGUUCAAUAGUGAAAGACGGUUUUGCUGUCACUUAUAGAUGGAUCCGCGCCGCAUUAGCUAGUUGGUAAGGUAACGGCUUACCAAGGCGACGAUGCGUAGCCGACCUGAGAGGGUGAUCGGCCACACUGGAACUGAGACACGGUCCAGACUCCUACGGGAGGCAGCAGUAGGGAAUCUUCCGCAAUGGGGGAAAGCCUGACGGAGCAACGCCGCGUGAGUGAUGAAGGUCUUCGGAUCGUAAAACUCUGUUAUUAGGGAAGAACAAAUGUGUAAGUAACUAUGCACGUCUUGACGGUACCUAAUCAGAAAGCCACGGCUAACUACGUG